GACGAACGCUGGCGGCGUGCUUAACACAUGCAAGUCGAACGGAAAGGCCCUGCUUUUGUGUGGUGCUCGAGUGGCGAACGGGUGAGUAACACGUGAGUAACCUGCCCUUGACUUUGGGAUAACUUCAGGAAACUGGGGCUAAUACCGGAUAGGAGCUCCUGCUGCAUGGUGGGGGUUGGAAAGUUUCGGCGGUUGGGGAUGGACUCGCGGCUUAUCAGCUUGUUGGUGGGGUAGUGGCUUACCAAGGCUUGGACGGGUAGCCGGCCUGAGAGGGUGACCGGCCACAUUGGGACUGAGAUACGGCCCAGACGCCUACGGGAGGCAGCAGUGGGGAAUAGUGCACAAUGGGCGGAAGCCGGAUGCAGCAACGCCGCGUGCGGGAGGACGGCCUUCGGGUUGUAAACCGCUUUCGCCUGUGACGAAGCGUGAGUGACUGUAAUGGGGAAAGAAGCACCGGCUAACUACGG
rnacentral:rRNA from 1 species